GACGAACGCUGGCGGCGUGCUUAACACAUGCAAGUCGAACGGAAAGGCCCUUCGGGGUGCUCGAGUGGCGAACGGGUGAGUAACACGUGGGUGAUCUGCCCUGCACUUUGGGAUAAGCCUGGGAAACUGGGUCUAAUACCGGAUAGGACUACGGGCUGCAUGGUCUGUGGUGGAAAGCUUUUGCGGCGUGGGAUGGGCCCGCGGCCUAUCAGCUUGUUGGUGGGGUGAUGGCCUACCAAGGCGACGACGGGUAGCCGGCCUGCGAGGGUGUCCGGCCACACUGGGACUGAGAUACGGCCCAGACUCCUACGGGAGGCAGCAGGGGGGAAUAUUGCACAAUGGGCGCAAGCCUGAUGCAGCGACGCCGCGUGAGGGAUGACGGCCUUCGGGUUGUAAACCUCUUUCAGCACAGACGAAGCGCAAGUGACGGUAUGUGCAGAAGAAGCACCGGCCAACUACGUGCCAGCAGCCGCCGUAAAAC
rnacentral:rRNA from 1 species